ensembl:ncRNA C33D3.6 ncRNA
CUUUCCUUUUUGUCUUCAAAUUUCCUAUUCAGCCAGCAAACUCGGGGAAGUCAAGGAUGAACGUUUAAUAGAGAAAAACUAUGGGUGUUCUGAAACAAUCAGUAAAAAAAUUAUCAGGACAAAAUGGCAACAUUAUCGUUGAGAAUGCGUCCUCGUAUCGCCGUAGCUCAGAAGUAGAAAUCAAUUGAAGAUAACAUUAUCAAUUCUGUAUAAAAAGAAAAUACAGGUUUUGAUA